rnacentral:rRNA from 1 species
GACGAACGCUGGCGGCGUGCUUAACACAUGCAAGUCGAGCGGUAAGGCCCUUUCGGGGGUACACGAGCGGCGAACGGGUGAGUAACACGUGGGUGACCUGCCCUCAGCUCUGGGAUAAGCCUGGGAAACCGGGUCUAAUACCGGAUAUGACUCCAUGACGCAUGUUGUGGGGUGGAAAGCCUUGUGCGGCUGAGGAUGGGCCCGCGGCCUAUCAGCUUGUUGGUGGGGUGAUGGCCUACCAAGGCGACGACGGGCAGCCGGCCUGAGAGGGCGACCGGCCACACUGGGACUGAGACACGGCCCAGACUCCUACGGGAGCAGCAGUGGGGAAUAUUGCGCAAUGGGCGUAAGCCUGACGCAGCGACGCCGCGUGGGGAUGAAGG